AUUAAUGAAGAUUGAACACCAGGCUGCUCCAAUUUAGCCAUGAAACCUAAAAUCCCACACUAAAAUGACAGUAGGAGCCAUCUGAAACCAGAUCCUCAGUGUUGUUCUGUUGAGCUGCAGUGGUUUUAAUGUUAUGGUCGGAGUUGAGGUGAUGAUUGUGAGGAGUGUGAGGUGAGUCUGGGUGAUGAUUGUGAGCAGUGUGAGGUGAGUCUGGGUGAUGAUUGUGAGGAGUGUGAGGUGAGUCUGGGUGAUGAUUGUGAGGUGUGUGAGGUGAGUCUGGGUGAUGAUUGUGAGGUGUGUGAGGUGAGUCUGGGUGAUGAUUGUGAGGUGUGUGAGGUGAGUCUGGGUGAUGAUUGUGAGGAGUGUGAGGUGAGUCUGGGUGAUGAUUGUGAGGUGUGUGAGGUGAGUCUGGGUGAUGAUUGUGAGGUGUGUGAGGUGAGUCUGGGUGAUGAUUGUGAGGUGUGUGAGGUGAGUCUGGGUGAUGAUUGUGAGGUGUGUGAGGUGAGUCUGGGUGAUGAUUGUGAGGUGUGUGAGGUGAGUCUGGGUGAUGAUGUAAUUCUGAUCGUAUCUCCUAUGUUUUUCACUACAGCCUGCAGAACCGGUUCUGUAG